rnacentral:rRNA from 1 species
UUGAACGCUGGCGGUAUGCUUUACACAUGCAAGUCGAACGGCAGCACGGGGCAACCUGGUGGCGAGUGGCGAACGGGUGAGUAACAUAUCGGAACAUAUCCGGAAGUGGGGGAUAACGUAGCGAAAGUUACGCUAAUACCGCAUAUGCCCUGAGGGGGAAAGUGGGGGAUCGCAAGACCUCUCGCUUUCGGAGUGGCCGAUAUCGGAUUAGCUAGUUGGUGAGGUAAAGGCUCACCAAGGCGACGAUCCGUAGCUGGUCUGAGAGGACGACCAGCCACACUGGAACUGAGACACGGUCCAGACUCCUACGGGAGGCAGCAGUGGGGAAUUUUGGACAAUGGGCGAAAGCCUGAUCCAGCCAUGCCGCGUGAGUGAAGAAGGCCUUCGGGUUGUAAAGCUCUUUCAGCCGGAAAGAAAUUGCUUCUAUUAAUACUAGGAGUAGAUGACGGUACCGGAAGAAGAAGCACCGGCUAACUACGU